rnacentral:rRNA from 1 species
CCUACGGGAGGCUGCAGUGAGGAAUAUUGGUCAAUGGACGGAAGUCUGAACCAGCCAUGCCGCGUGCAGGAAGACGGCUCUAUGAGUUGUAAACUGCUUUUGUACAAGGGUAAACCUGAAUACGUGUAUUCAGCUGAAAGUACUGUACGAAUAAGGAUCGGCUAACUCCGUGCCAGCAGCCGCGGUAAUACGGAGGAUCCAAGCGUUAUCCGGAUUUAUUGGGUUUAAAGGGUGCGUAGGCGGAUUGAUAAGUUAGAAGGGAAAUGUCCGAGCUUAACUCGGGAACUGCCUCUAAUACUGUUGAUCUAGAGAGUAGAUGCGGUAGGCGGAAUGUAUGGUGUAGCGGUGAAAUGCUUAGAGAUCAUACAGAACACCGAUUGCGAAGGCAGCUUACCAAUCUAUAUCUGACGUUGAGGCACGAAAGCGUGGGGAGCAAACAGGAUUAGAUACCCUGGUAGUC